UUGGAGGGCAAGUCUGGUGCCAGCAGCCGCGGUAAUUCCAGCUCCAAUAGCGUAUAUUAAAGUUGUUGCAGUUAAAAAGCUCGUAGUUGAAUUUCGGGGUCAAUAAGUUGGUCGUGCCAAUGGUAUGCACUGGCUUUAUUGAUUCCUACCUCUUGACGAACUGUGAUGCCAUUAAUUUGGUGUCGCAAGGAAUCAGGACUGUUACCUUGAAAAAAUUAGAGUGUUUAAAGCAGGCUUACGCUUGAAUACAUUAGCAUGGAAUAAUGAAAUAGGACGUUUGAACCUAUUUUGUUGGUUUCUAGGAUCGACGUAAUGAUUAAUAGGGAUAGUUGGGGGCAUUAGUAUUCAAUUGUCAGAGGUGAAAUUCUUGGAUUUAUUGAAGACUAACUACUGCGAAGGCAUUUGCCAAGGAUGUUUUCAUUAAUCAAGAACGAAAGUUAGGGGAUCGAAGACGAUCAGAUACCGUCGUAGUCUUAACCAUAAACUAUGCCGACUAGGGAUCGGAUGAUGUUAAUUUUUUAAUGACUCAUUCGGCGCCUUACGGGARACCAAAGUGUUUGGGUUC
rnacentral:rRNA from 1 species